AGGGCAAACCUGCCUCCCCUUCUGUUUAGUCAUCUCUCAGCUCACUGAGGUAAAUGCAUAUCUGAUUACCGCCUCUGGAGAGGCUAACCAGAAACUCAAGGGAAUGCAACUGUUUGACCUGGAAGCUCCCUCUUGCCUUUGCUUGGAGUAGUCCCGCCAUUCCGGACCAACCAAUGUUCAUCUUACGUGUAUUAAUUGAUGUCUCAUAUCUCCCUAAAAUGUGUAAAACCAAGCUGUGCUCUGACCACCUUGGGCCCUUGUCAUCAGGACCUCCGUAGGCCGUGUCAUGGGCGUGCCUCCUUAAAUUCAGCAAAAUAAACUUCCUAAGUUGACUGAGAUCUGACUCAGAUCUUUAAGGUUCACAUUUUAGUAACCACAAAGCGAUUCCUAGUAGAGGUGCCACUGACCUUUGACAAAUCUCCUGUCAGUCAUUAGUACCAGCCUGAGCUAUCUUUAUGGCUCAAACCAACAGGACAAUUUGCUGAGGCCUCGAAGAACCCCCUCCAGAGAAUCCCUGAUCUACCCAGAUUUGGUCAAGAUCUAGUUUAUUUUGCUGUACAACUCCUUUUGUGUGUGGGGGGUGAGGGGACGGGGGUGGUUUACUCUCUUCCAACAUAAGGAAGGCAAGUUUUUUCUUGCUUCAGUGACAGUGGAAGGCAGGUAACUCUUUUAUGGAGUUUGAGCUCGCUUCCCACAGGAAAGAUGAGGGGUUUUCUUCCCCUGCUCCUAGGAUGGUAGAGAGCAAUCUUCAGCCUGAGACCCAUCCCUAGGUGCCUAGAGAAUCAGUCCCUGGAGCAACACUGGGCCCUAAUUGCAGACCUGUUGACCUGGGUCAGGUUGGAUUUCAGAAUCUCUGCAGACUGACUGCUUUUUGCCUCAGUUUCACCCUUCUGAAUGGCAGGGGCCAAGGACUCAAUUCCUGAGCAAGAAACAGCAAGAAACAGCAAGUGCCAUGAAAAGCGGCUUUGUGUGGGGUGGGCUCUUCACACUCCAAUCUCCAGUUCCUUCUCAAAGCUUCGAAAAAAAGUUGAAAAAUGAAAACAAAAGCCCUGCUGUGUUGAGCUGGGCUCUGGCGUUGCCAUGGACCCAGGGCAAACAGCGAUGCUCCUGCUCUGCCCCCAGCUCAGCUCACACUGGGCCUGCACUUCUGGAAGGGAGCACAGACUUCGGAAUGACUGGUUAGAACCCAAAUGAAUUCAUGGAAUGUGACAUGGUUCAA